UUGCAAAAAACCCUCCCUUCAACGCUGCUUUUUUUUUUUUUUUUUUUUUUUAUGGGACAGGUGGAGUACCAGUUCCUCUCCCCCUACGUCUCCCCCAGGGACACCCCCUUCCGCCACAUCCUCCUGGGCUCCGGCUCCCACACCGCCCAGGCCCUGCUGGAACACGUCCUCCUGCUCAGGAGCAACGCGAGCGCCUUCGACAAAGACCUCUUCAAGAACCAGCUGGCCCUCAUGACGUGGACCAUCCAAGGGGCAGCCAACGCCCUGGCUGGCGACGUUUGGGACAUCAAUAACGAGCUCUGAAAAAAACAACAACGAUCCACCCCCCACCCCCCCACCCUUCCAAAAAAACACCCCCUCCACCCCCGUCCUCUUCCACCACCACCCCAAACCCGUUGCCCAGUUACACACCUUCCCUUUAGCUUUUCAGCUGGGUUUUUAGAGGGUCCCAAAGUCGAGGGAUUCAAAUCUUGGGAGAGAUUUUUUAGGUGCGGAUCGAUGUCCCUGCCUGAUGUGGCUAAUAAGGCCCCCAUCAUCCCCUUAGCAAUCUGAAGGAAUUCCGUUUCCCGGAGUAAGCGAACCCCUCUGGCUGGACAGAGAAAGCCCCCUAAGCCGACCACGUUCCAGUCGGCGUUGAAACUCUCCCCGCAAAGCAAAAAAGGCUUAAAUUGGUGGGAGCCUGCUUGGGGAGGGGGGGGGACCAGGUUCGAAUCUCCUCCCACGCAUAUUUUCAUCAGGCCUGGAACGUGGAGCCCUUCUACCUUACUCUGUCCGGUUCCCCUCGGGCCACUUACUCCGGGGAAUGAGGCGAAUGGGGAUAAGGUCCGGCGGGCACGAUUUAGGAAAUGUAGGCAACGGGAAGCCCUUUUCCGGGAAGCCCUUUGGUCUUCUUGCUUUGUUGGCCAACCGGGAAAACACGCGAGCCUUUCCCGUCGGUCCCACUAGGGAAGGAGGGCGCGUUCCCGCGGCCUCCUCGGUCCUGGAGAUAUAUUUAUUAGUUAUUUAUUUAUCAGUGACAGUGUUCACUAUAAAUGCUAUUUGUGUUCUACCGAAUAUAAUUAUCGGAAGCAGUGACUUCCAUAAUUAUGACAGUUAUACUGUCGUUGUUUUGAUAUUAAGUAAUAAAAGCAGCAUCUGCUAACCGUGAGGAGAACUGGAGACUUGGGAGGGAGGGGGGCGUGAAUUUCCCUCCACUGCAGCGUUUCAAGAGAGGGUUUGUAGUCGCUGCCGUUUCUGGGGUGCUGCGCGGGGAAGGCAGGAAACCCU